GCAGGGUUUCAUGGAACCCAGAGUGAUCUCAGACUCUCCCUAGCAACGCCUGGCGCUGGCACCCACCGCCACGUGCUGGGAUUACGGACUCGCUCCUCCUCACCAGACUUUGAAACCCGACUUCACAAACAGCUGCUAUGAUUAUUAAUGCAGGUGUUCGGAGGAGCACAGGCUCUGGAGUCAGGCCUGGCUCUGGAGCCCAGCCCUGAUCUUCACCGCUUACCUUGGUGAACAUAGCCAACUAUCUGCACAGUUCUCCUUUAGAGAGAUGACCACCACAAUGGGACACUUGCUUGGUGACUUUCCUAAGAAGCAUGCCUGUUACUUAGGACUCUGCUGUGCUCCCAGAAGGUGCUACAAAUGUGUUUGUUCUUCUGAACGGAGCCACAUAUACCUAGUUUAAACUAGUUACAGCCAAGACACUGGCCACCACAUUACUCAGAAGACAUCCUUCUGCAGUCGCCUGAUGCUGCUGGAUAACAAUAUUCAGCAAACGCGUGCAGGAAAUACACAUUGCUUGGGGACGGAGCUGAUAGUGUACACGUCUGGAAUAGAAGCUGCCUGAGUGGGUGAUGUAGAGAAGUAAGGGAAAGGGUUGGACUGCGAAACCAUGAAGUUCGGUGCAGGAAUGGGAAGUCAGCAUCAGGCGGGACGGUGCGAGGACACAGGGGUCCUGCCCCCUUGGUGCUGAACCGUCUGCUCCUGGUAGGCUCAGGGAUGGAAUCGCUACCUCAGUUGUUCAUCCACUCACGACCCAGUCAAGAUCCAAAAGAGAGUUCUGAUUCCAACCCAGUGGUCACACAGAUGGCCCUGCUUCACAUAGGCUGGUCAUGAAAUAAAAACCAAGGUCAGAAACCUGAGAAAGAAACUGGGGAAGGGGGGCGGGGAGUGUGUGUCAGAGGGCGAGGGUGAUGGAAAAGAGUAAUCAGAAUAAA